AGCAGCCGCGGUAAUUCCAGCUCCAAUAGCGUAUAUUAAAGUUGUUGCAGUUAAAAAGCUCGUAGUUGAAUUUCGGGGUUAGUAGGUUGGUCAUGCCUCUGGUAUGUACUGGUCUCACUGAUUCCUCCUUCCUUAUGAACCGUAAUGCCAUUAAUUUGGUGUUGCGGGGAAUUUGGACUGUUACUUUGAAAAAAUUAGAGUGUUUAAAGCAAGCUAACGCUUGAAUACAUUAGCAUGGAAUAAUGAAAUAGGACGUUCGAUCUUAUUUUGUUGGUUUCUAGGAUUGACGUAAUGAUUAAUAGGGAUAGUUGGGGGCAUUAGUAUUCAAUUGUCAGAGGUGAAAUUCUUGGAUUUAUUGAAGACUAACUACUGCGAAGGCAUUUGCCAAGGAUGUUUUCAUUAAUCAAGAACGAAAGUUAGGGGAUCGAAGACGAUCAGAUACCGUCGUAGUCUUAACCAUAAACUAUGCCGACUAGGGAUCGGAUGAUGUUAAUUUUAUAAUGACUCAUUCGGCGCCUUA
rnacentral:rRNA from 1 species